rnacentral:rRNA from 1 species
GAUGAACGCUGGCGGUGUGCCUAAUACAUGCAAGUCGAGCGAACAGACGAGGAGCUUACUCCUCUGACGUUAGCGGCGGACGGGUGAGUAACACGUGGAUAACCUACCUAUAAGACUGGGAUAACUUCGGGAAACCGGAGCUAAUACCGGAUAACAUGUUGAACCGCAUGGUUCAACAGUGAAAGACGGUCUUGCUGUCACUUAUAGAUGGAUCCGCGUCGCAUUAGCUAGUUGGUAAGGUAACGGCUUACCAAGGCAACGAUGCGUAGCCGACCUGAGAGGGUGAUCGGCCACACUGGAACUGAGACACGGUCCAGACUCCUACGGGAGGCAGCAGUAGGGAAUCUUCCGCAAUGGGCGAAAGCCUUACGGAGCAACGCCGCGUGAGUGAAGAAGGUCUUCGGAUCGUAAAACUCUGUUAUUAGGGAAGAACAAAUGUGUAAGUAACUAUGCACGUCUUGACGGUACCUAAUCAGAAAGCCACGGCUAACUACGUG